CACACACGUACAGACUCACUGGGAGUCAAACCCAUCAAGGAAAACCAGACAGCAUGGAAAAUGCUACUGUGUUAGGACUUCCAGCAUUCCUGGGAUGGGAGCUCCAAGAUAAGAGGCUCCACGACUGGUGUUUGGCUCCAGGAGCUCUCUGCAGAGAGGGAGAUGAUGGAGGAAGGGCAGGGGAAGAAAAAGCAAGAAAGAAAAGACUCUAAUUGCAGCCUUCCACCAAUGCAGUCGCCAUCUGGUAACUCAAGAGACACAUGGAGACGAAUAAUCUUAAUUAACAUGUUACAACAGUAUUUAAAAAAACUCUAUGCUUAUUAACACUCAGCUGUGAUUAGCCAACCAUGGAGAAAGCCUGCUAGUGUAACAUUAAUUACGGGUCUUGUCUGUCUUUCUAUUAGAA